AUUGAACGCUGGCGGCAUGCCUUACACAUGCAAGUCGAACGGCAGCACGGGUGCUUGCCCCUGGUGGCGAGUGGCGAACGGGUGAGUAAUACAUCGGAACAUGUCCUGUAGUGGGGGAUAGCCCGGCGAGAGCCGGAUUAAUACCGCAUACGAUCCACGGAUGAAAGCGGGGGACCUUCGGGCCUCGCGCUAUAGGGUUGGCCGAUGGCUGAUUAGCUAGUUGGUGGGGUAAAGGCCUACCAAGGCGACGAUCAGUAGCUGGUCUGAGAGGACGACCAGCCACACUGGGACUGAGACACGGCCCAGACUCCUACGGGAGGCAGCAGUGGGGAAUUUUGGACAAUGGGCGAAAGCCUGAUCCAGCAAUGCCGCGUGUGUGAAGAAGGCCUUCGGGUUGUAAAGCACUUUUGUCCGGAAAGAAAUCCUUGACUCUAAUACAGUCGGGGGAUGACGGUACCGGAAGAAUAAGCACCGGCUAACUACGUG
rnacentral:rRNA from 1 species